rnacentral:rRNA from 1 species
UGCAGUCGAACGGUAGCACAGAGAGCUUGCUCUCGGGUGACGAGUGGCGGNNGGGUGAGUAAUGUCUGGGAAACUGCCUGAUGGAGGGGGAUAACUACUGGAAACGGUAGCUAAUACCGCAUAACGUCGCAAGACCAAAGAGGGGGACCUUCGGGCCUCUUGCCAUCAGAUGUGCCCAGAUGGGAUUAGCUAGUAGGUGGGGUAAUGGCUCACCUAGGCGACGAUCCCUAGCUGGUCUGAGAGGAUGACCAGCCACACUGGAACUGAGACACGGUCCAGACUCCUACGGGAGGCAGCAGUGGGGAAUAUUGCACAAUGGGCGCAAGCCUGAUGCAGCCAUGCCGCGUGUAUGAAGAAGGCCUUCGGGUUGUAAAGUACCUUCAGCGGGGAGGAAGGUGUUGUGGUUAAUAACCACAGCAAUUGACGUUACCCGCAGAAGAAGCACCGGCUAACUCCGUGCCAGCAGCCGCGGUAAUACGGAGGGUGCAAGCGUUAAUCGGAAUUACUGGGCGUAAAGCGCACGCAGGCGGUCUGUCAAGUCGGAUGUGAAAUCCCCGGGCUCAACCUGGGAACUGCAUUCGAAACUGGCAGGCUAGAGUCUUGUAGAGGGGGGUAGAAUUCCAGGUGUAGCGGUGAAAUGCGUANAGAUCUGGANGAAUACCGGUGGCGAANGCGGNCCCCUGGACAAAGACUGACGCUCAGGUGCNAAAGCGUGGGGANCAAACANGAUUANAUACCCUGGUAGUCCACGCCGUAAACGAUGUCGACUUGNANGUUGUUCCCUNGANNANUGNNUUNCNGGANCUAACGCGUUNAGUCNACCGCCUGGGGAGU